AUACGUAGGGGGCGAGCGUUGUCCGGAAUGAUUGGGCGUAAAGGGCGCGUAGGCGGCCUGUUAAGUCUGGAGUGAAAGUCCUGUUUUCAAGAUGGGAAUUGCUUUGGAUACUGAUGGGCUUGAGUGCAGGAGAGGUUAUCGGAAUUCCCGGUGUAGCGGUGAAAUGCGUAGAGAUCGGGAGGAACACCAGUGGCGAAGGCGGGUAACUGGACGAUCACUGACGUUGAGGCUCGAAAGCGUGGGGAGCAAACAGGAUUAGAUACCCUGGUAGUCCACGCGGUAAACGAUGAAUACCAGGUGUCGGGGGGCGAAGCUCUUCGGUGCCGAAAGCAAACGCAGUAAGUAUUCCACCUGGGGAGUACGUUCGCAAGAAUGAAACUCAAAGGAAUUGACGGGG
rnacentral:rRNA from 1 species